rnacentral:rRNA from 1 species
UACGGAGGGGACUAGCGUUGUUCGGAAUUACUGGGCGUAAAGCGCACGUAGGCGGAUUUGUAAGUCAGGGGUGAAAUCCCGGGGCUCAACCUCGGAACUGCCUUUGAUACUGCAAAUCUCGAGUCCGGAAGAGGUGAGUGGAAUUCCUAGUGUAGAGGUGAAAUUCGUAGAUAUUCGGAAGAACACCAGUGGCGAAAGCGACUUCCUGGACCAAUACUGACGCUCAUGUGCGAAAGCGUGGGGAGCAAACAGG